CUCAUAAAUGGUUAUACUGCUACCACCACUUUGAAACACUUGAUCUUCCUCAUUUUCUCCCUUUGUUUGAAAGUUUUCAAGAAUUUCAACAACCUGGCUCAUGAGAGGUCUGCCUUUGGGGUUUUGGCUAAGACAUAGUGGGCGUGCCCACUCAACCAAGUUAUGCUCUCGGCUGGGCCUGCUCUUGUCUAAUGCUCUCCUACCAAUAAGCAUUUCAAGUAGCACCACCCCAAAACCAUACACAUCACUUCGUGCUGUCAAAUGCCCUGUACAUAUUGACAAACAGGGUUUCAUUUCCAACAACAAAGUGCAGAAAAAGGCCAGGUGAUGUCUUGCGACAGUUGUUUGUGUCAACUUAGAAUUACAUCCUUCCACAGCAGCUGCGCACCUCCUUCCUCUUCUCCGGCAGCGCGCGCCUCCUCCCUCUCCUCCGGUCGCGCGCGCCUCCUUCUUCUCCUCCGGUCGCGCGCCGCCUACCUCUCCUCCGGUCGCGUGCCCCUCCUGCACUCUCGCCGAGCCUCUUCACGUCUACAGAAAAAAGCUCCAAAAAUGGACUCAACCCAAUGUCAAGAGAAUGGAAACAAAGAUGGUCCCUCCCUCUUUUCACGCAAUCCCUAAAUCCUUGCUGAAGCUCAAAUCGUCGUCGCACUGCUGGAAGCUCUCAACUCAGGAACAACGGUUCACUGCUGAAGCCCACCGCUGUCGCUGCCGCCGUCGCACUGCUUGAAGCACUGCCGCAGUUUUUAGUGGAGCUGAAUAGUAAUAAUGCACUUCAUGUUCAAGUGACUAUUGGGACCCUUAUUUUUCAGAAUUGUAUCUCUUGCUUUUUUGCUCAAGGGAGAAACUUGGGUUGUCUAGAACUUUCUUGUUCACACCUUGCAACUCCAGAAGCUUGGCACCUGUUGUGGAAAGGUACUUAGCUUGAGUUGAAAAAACAGUAGCAGCUGAGUUGAAAGGGUUCAAAGUUGCUCACCUCCGCUGCUCUCCUAAUUUAUGCUUAUGGUGCUGGUGGCUUUCCUGCUUGGGGCAUUAAUUUGCUGAACUGUUGCUGUUUUGCUGAAUUGUUGCUGUUUAACUAUUUUGUCAUAAUUUCAUGAGCAGUUGCUGUUUAACUACAUUUAAAGAACUAGAAUUGCUGAAUUGUUCUAGUUUUUUAGGCUAUUAUGUUUUCUUUUUUGCUGGGACCUUGGAUGUUUAACUCACUUGAGAGAGUGUGUUCUCAAGAUCUCUUUUUAUUUUAAUAAAUUUUCAUUAAAAAAAUAUGUAUA